CGCAGCUUUGUGGGAUUCUUGAUUCAAAGAAAAAAGGUCAAGUACCCUGGAUUCCAGAUUCAACCAAACCCUCAAGAAUGUUCAGGGGCUCGCUUCUUCUUUCAGCAGCUGAUAUCUGGAGUCAGCUAUUGCCAUGCAAUGCAAGUUUGCCACCGGGACUUGAAGUUGGAAAACACUUUGUUGGAUGGAAGCCCGGCUCCUCGGUUAAAGAUAUGUGAGGGAGAAUCCUGAAUUGGCUUUGAGGGGUUCUUGUGUUUUGGUGAUGUUGAUGAAGGGGAGUAUGUGUAUUUGAUGAAUGUCCUCAUCUUAUUACUGGCAAUGGGGUUGGAUUCAAACCAGAUAUUUUGGACAUGGAUGUAAUGGAAAAAGUUCUUGAGAUUGGCAGUGAAGAUUCAGUAAAAAUGGCUAGGGAGUUGGCCUUGAAAGAGGAGCUUAUGGUAAAACUCAAAUGAUUUUUAAAUUUCAGUUAUCUAUACCAAUAUGUGUGUGUUGUGAGUUUUUAUACCGUUGAUAUUUACCUUCUCUUAAUGGGCAUUUCUCUAGACCUUGAUCAGACUUCGUCUGAAGUUGUUAUGAGCAUUGUAAUCAGGUUUUUGGGCUGAAAUAUUUAAAGACUCUGUUCCAAUUAUUAGAUCUCCAACUUUCAAGUUCUUCUGCUCUUAAGAAUAAUGUGUGAAUUUCAAAUUCUUUUAAGCUUGAUGUCAACCUUCUGGUUUGUGUAGGUAGGGAUAUUCUCAGGUGCAAAUACAGUUGCAGCACUAAAACUCGCUCAAACGCCCAAGAACAAAGGCAAACUUAUUGUUCUAUCCCUCUCUCUGAGGAUCACAAACCCAACAGAAGUGAUGAGGGGAAAAGAAUUGAAAAUGUUGGCAGCGUCGUAAUGUGGGCAGACUGUUGUUCCUCUUAUUGUUUUGUCAGGCACUUGGAGAGUUGGAGGUAUUCUAGCUAUGUCAUGUGCAUUUGGUAACCGUAUGUUGAAGUAAUUUGUUGUUGCUAAACCUGAUAUCCAG